rnacentral:rRNA from 1 species
AUUGAACGCUGGCGGCAGGCCUAACACAUGCAAGUCGAACGGUAACAGGAGGAAGCUUGCUUCUUUGCUGACGAGUGGCGGACGGGUGAGUAAUGUCUGGGAAACUGCCUGAUGGAGGGGGAUAACUACUGGAAACGGUAGCUAAUACCGCAUAACGUCGCAAGACCAAAGAGGGGGACCUUCGGGCCUCUUGCCAUCGGAUGUGCCCAGAUGGGAUUAGCUAGUAGGUGGGGUAACGGCUCACCUAGGCGACGAUCCCUAGCUGGUCUGAGAGGAUGACCAGCCACACUGGAACUGAGACACGGUCCAGACUCCUACGGGAGGCAGCAGUGGGGAAUAUUGCACAGUGGGCGCAAGCCUGAUGCAGCCAUGCCGCGUGUAUGAAGAAGGCCUUCGGGUUGUAAAGUACUUUCAGCGGGGAGGAAGGGAGUAAAGUUAAUACCUUUGCUCAUUGACGUUACCCGCAGAAGAAGCACCGGCUAACUCCGU